UGCACGAUAUUUUUUGCUAUA
rnacentral:piRNA from 1 species